UUUAUUGGUCAUUAUCAGUGAUCAGUCAGUGAUACCUCUUGUGAUUGGCUGUAGGUGAGGAAGAGAAACGAAGAGGGCGGGCAGACACGCAGAGCCCAGAGGGAGCGAGCAGGCCAGAGUAAGGCGAGAGAGGGAAAGAAAGAAGGGGAAAAUAGGUUAAGACGUAAACACGCACUUUUACCUAGUUACAUAAUUUCAGUUAAUUAGGCUGAACGUUACUGCUUGUGUGUAUGUGUCUGUGCAGGAUUAAAGUCUGCAAGUUAAUAAAAAUGCGUAGCUGUUAGCCGCUAAGGUAGCGGGAGUGAAGAUGCUAACCGCUUAGCUGUAUGCUGCUAAUUACAUGUAUUUGUCGCAUCGGUAGCUGUAGUUCCUAGAAAUUAGCUUUGUGGUUGGUAGAUAAAGUGAACCCAUAGACUGUAUAAAACACCAGGAAUUUGUGAGAGCAUAGACCCAUGCUAGAUUCAAGUUCAGAUAGACCCCACAGUGACCGCGCAAGUUGUGUGGGUCUUCUGAGAUGUUACAAGUCAGCUUGCGCCAAGUGGUUUCCGGAAAAAGCCCAUGGGUGCCUCUGACGAAGAUUUCAGCUGCUGCCGCCUGCUACUCUCCUCUGACACAGGCUGUCGCUCCAGGAUUGACACAGAAGUGCAGUGUGAUGGCGCUGCAGCAGAGAGAGAAAGAUCUGGGUGACCAUCUGAAACCAAUUAUGGCGCGCUGCAGCCACCCAGAAACUCAGUGACGGAUGGGGAUCUUGUAUUUAUAGCUGGGACAGGGGAGCUGAGUGCCAGAAGAAACAUUCAGCGAAGGAGAGAUGAGAGAUAGAGAAAGAGAGACCAGAGAGUUGGAGGCGUCACUCGGCCAGUUGAAACCCCAGAACUCCAUGUGAACCUGCUGAAAGGGAGGUGGCGUCCGGCCUGGGUAAACACAGUGUGAGGGAGAGCCAGGGACGCAGCCUGUUGGUCCUAACUGUGGAGGAGAAAUGUCCAAUAACUCGGCCUGUGGGGAGCGAGCAGUUAGCCAAGGCUAACGCCAACACAGGCUCGCUGGGAGCAGGCAUAGGCGUGAAGUUGGGUCACAGCUGCUCUGAGGGACGUAUAGGUAACAGGCCUGGGUCUUGCAAACAGGAAAUCAUUUUCCAGGGGGCAGUAUCCCCUUUGCAAGGCAGCAAAGUUUAAUUCACUUCUAAGUCAACCUACCAAGUAGAUUUUCUUGAAAAUAAAAAUUGAAAAUAACCAUAAAAUUGCUGCAAUAACCUAUAAGGAAGUGAUUUAGGAUUAAGUGUAUGUUAUCAUUUAAUGAAUUGCAGUUUUAAAUUACAUGUUAAACUGAGUAAACUGAGAGCAAAUUGACCUCAACUCUACAAGGGAAACAUUUGAGCUUUACAUGGACAUGCACUGCUACUUAUGUAUCCGCCCUUCGUCCUGUAUGUUCACCCCUCUGAAGAGGUAUGGAUAUCACCCUUCAUGCUUUUUUACCUCAUUGACUCUGUUUCCCCUUCAACUUUGACCGCUGAAGGUUUAAACACAGUGCAGGAAAGCAGCAGGGGUUCAUGGGAGAAAAAAAACUCACACACAGAGAGCACACUGUAUUCAGAGCUAGAGGUGUUACCAGUAGUUGUGUCUAUGUGAGGGAUAACACAGCCAGACAUUAUUUUUUUUGCGUAUUUUAACCUGCAUGAAGUGUCACGUGGGCUAGGUUUGCCAUCAUUGCAUUUACCAUGCAAUGACGGCAUGUUUAAUAUACUGAAGUCAUCCACUCUCCCUGCAGUGGCCAACCUUCUUCUUUGUCAUUGUGUUUUAGGAAAUAAAACCCUUUUGAACUUGUUCUGGUUCACCCCCUUGGCCACUUGCUCCACGUCCCACCCCAUACCUCACAACCUCCGGGAAGCAGUUAAUGCUUUAAUUGGCACUUAAUUAGUUAAUUGACCCCAGCGUUGUUGGGAAGGGGGGUAACAGGGUGACAGGGGCUUGGGGGCGCAGGUGAGGGUGGAGAGGAUUGGCCCAAGGUGCUUCCUGUGUCACAUCACCAGCGGAGGUACCCAUCAACCCCUUUGAACUGGGACACAAACACUGGAAACACUUUCAUCGGGCCAAUGUGUCAUCACAGCCGGGUCCCAUGUAUAUGUAUGGGACUGUCUGAAAAUAUACAAAGUCCAAUUUGCCCGGGACAGGCCAACCUCAGGAUAAUGAAUCACAUGUGAUGUGUAUCUGAUAUGCAGCCUGAGUCAUCACCAGAUGUUUCGACAGGAUUACUUCCAGUUCUGGAGAAGAACAGUGGAUUUUCAAAGAGAAACCAACAACGCGCCAUCAAGAAAGACAAAGAAAAGAAGUCAACAAACAUUUGCUGCCACGAUACGUAAAACAUAAGAGUUUAUAAAAAGUCUGUACUGGAAUGCUCUCACUGCCUCUGGAAGGUAGACCAAAGUGUUUCUUACGUCUAUAAUUGGGCGUAUACAUGCCAAAUGAGAGGAGUUUUGAGGUCAAGUACAGAAGAGGAAGUAACUUGGGCACCAGGCCUUCAGAUAAAAGCUUACAGGUGGAACUAAGUACAGUCCUACAUGUGUAGGCAAGCUGUGGUGCUUGUUUGUUCUGGUGUCUGUUUGUAUGCAGAAAAUGCAGCUCCCAGCGCAUAAUGUGUUUGCUCAGUCGUAGCAUAGCAUGUACUCUGGAUAACAUUCUCUGUCUCUUUCACUUGGCAAAAACACAUAUGAACCUGUGUGAAUUUGUGAACCCGUUUGCAAACCUCAAGGCACUGACAUACCCACACAAACACAGAGAAACAUACGCACACCUUUUGUUCUUUCUCACAUGUGCUUAUUGUUUCUCCUCUGUAGUUCACUCACAUGUAUACAAAAAUAAUUCCCAUAUCUUGAGUUUACAAAUUACCUCAUCCUGCUUGCUGUUUCCUUAGAAAAUAGUCAAAGUUUUUUGGGACUUGAUCUGUGUGUGAAUCUGUGUGUGUGUGGGUUCCUGCAUUUGCCCCUGUGUGUUUGCACCCAUGUGUGUUCAUCAGAGAGGGACGCUCAGCAGGCUGUGUUGUUGUAGGUGAGGGUGAGGAGCCCCCUGAUGGGCAGCUGUGGCAGAGAGGCCAGCUUUGAUCAAAGGCCCAAGAAGAAGAGGAGAGGGAGGGGAGAGCAGCAGGCCAUCCAGAAGAGAGAAGAGAUGAAGCAGGGUUGCAGAAUGGAGGACCUGGGAUGACUGUGUCCUUAAGCCCAUGGUGGGACCCCCCCAACAACCAAGAAAAAACACCUGCUUCUCUGUUACCACCACACUGGGUCAGACUCACUGGAAUAUAAUCCUCUGUCAGUACUAAAAUAUUGUACCUUGUCAUGUUUAUGGAAGUUAGUGUUGCAAAAUAGAGCUAAAAGUGUGUUAAAAGUGAAUUAUGUUUCUGAAUUAAUUUUCUUUUGUAACAUUUGGAGCACCACCGAGAGGAUGCCAAAUCUGACUCCAUUUCUGCAUUAGAUUUCCUCCUCUGAUGAGAUGAAAAAACCGGUGCAUGCAGCAGAGAUUUCCAAAUAAUUGAAUCAUGUAUUUAUUCAAUAGGCUCUGGGCAGUGUAUUGAUUGUCGACAGAUUGAGUUACGCUGAGAAUCUGUGGGAAGUCUCGCAAAAGGAGACGACCUAACCAAGGGCAUGUGUGCAAGGAGCCGUGCGGCCAGACAAAUGUAUUCAGAUUAAAUUCAUGUCGCUUAGGUCAUUCUGGCUUCAAAUGUUCCUUGAGGGAGACGUAUUUAAUUUAGGCCCUCAGUUCUUCCAAAUAAGAUACUUUCGUUCUGACCUCUGGCUACUUCAUUUUGCUUUUCUGGGCUUCUAGAUCAUAUUGAGUUGAGGAGGGGUACGAUUUAUGUUUAAAAUUAUUUCAAAUUAUUUUUUUCUUUAUUCCUCAAAAAUGUUUCACGUAAAAAUAACAACAUAAAUGGUGUAUUUUUUGCCAAUAAAAUGUCCCGGAAAUCAAAGGAGACACUUUCCAACACUGGUGUGAAGUUGAAUAUUUCAUUGUAAUAGAUAUUAGCCUAUACAGACUGGGGUAUUUAUAGCAACUUUUGCCACAUUGUGGAAAUGCUGCCAAGCCCAGGAGCUGAAAAAUUAUAUUUAAAAAUGAAAUAAACUCAUAAAAGUAGUCUUU